rnacentral:lncRNA from 1 species
UUUGGGGAUUCGAGCUGACAGGCUGCAACAUACAUUACCAUCCGUGGAGCAGUCCGCCUGCGGGGGCUCCAUCUCCCCUAUUUAGUGGUCGCCAAGGGAAGAAAAGACCAAAAAAAAGGGAGAUGGCGAGGGCAAGAGGCAGCAAAGGGCAGCAGGGAAUGGACUUCAUCUCCGAAGAUGGGUUAGGCGGAGGGGGCUGAGGUGAGGGCGACGAUGCACCGAGGUCAUAGUCGACAGGGGAUUCAAAUAGAGGGAGGCGAAGAGGGCCUUGGCCCGAGCCCCUUCCUCUAACUUGUAGCAAAUUUGGGCCCUAGGUGCGGCAACCAUCUUGCGAUGGCUGGUGAUCAGAGCGCCCAUGUCCAUGUCCCUUGGCUUGGCGCCCCUCUUACCUUUGCUAUGGGGGAGGAUGACCAUGAAUAGCUGUAAUAAUGGAGGUCGAGGAUGAUGCAUGGUCAACCAACAUGUGGCAGUGGGAAGGGGUCUACGGGGAGCUCUGACUCAUCCUCACAGUGGCGAUGGUAUGGAGGUGUUUUGUUUUUUUUUUUUUUUUUUUUUUUUUGCUGAGACAGAUGUCUCAUACAAAUUGGAAAAAAAAAUCAAAAAAAUAACAAGUUCUAAUGUGCCCCGAGUAAUUUCCUC